rnacentral:lncRNA from 1 species
UUUCACUUAAGCCUUAUAAUGACCAGAUGAGAUAUGUAUGAAUUAUUAUCCUCAUUCUUCUUUCAGAUGAGAUAUAAUAAAAUGAGAAAAAUGAAACUUCAGGAGGUUAUGUAAAUAUCUCAAGGUCACACAUGAGCAGUGGCAGAUCCAUAGAAAGAAUCGGAUUAUCUGAGUCCACCAUGACCACCAAGCUUUACAUACAGUAUGGCAAGCUGCUCAGUAUAACUCCACAGGAAAGAAACAAUUAAGCCUGGGUCCUCUGGGGAUAUCGAGGAAGGUUGAGAAUAUCAGAGGGAUGCACAGACAUGGACCAAACGCGGUUAAGCUGUAAGAGCAGGAGGUACAGCAUAAACAAGGACAUGGAGGCAUGAAUAUGGUGAAAUUUGGGCAGUACCUAUGGUGAAAGCAUAGGGCAUAUGUGAAAGAUGAGUUUAGGGAGGCAGGAAGGGCAUUUGUUUGCCACACUGAGUUUGUUCUUCUUUUAGACGUAUAAGAUUUUAGAUUAUGCAAUACCCAAGUAGAGGAUAAUGCUUUUCAUAUAUAUAUAUGUGUGUGUAUUAUAUAUGUGAUAUAUAUAUAUAUAUGUGUAAUAUCUCUAUCUAUCUGUCUUUUAGUAGGAUUCACUGCUCCUGGUAAAGAUAUUUUCAAGGCAGUGAUCUCUCCAACCAGCAAAACCACUGAGCAUCAAGUCUGGUCACCCCCCUGUGGUAGGGGCUGCCUCCUGACUGACAGCUGACAAGUGAGGCUCCUCCUGGAAGCCUUGGCUCCGGGGCCUAAUCAAGAAACAAGAGCUGAAGCAGAUUCUAAGCUUCUCCAGCACUGCUCGAGGUGCCACCGAAGACGCUGCCAAGGCCACGGCAGGUUUUCUGUCUGGGAGGCUGGGCCUGCCUGAGCAGGUAUUUGUAAUCAAGGCCAUUCUUAAAGCCAAAGGCAGAACUGAGCAUUUUAUGGGGAGUGUGUGAAAGGGAGAAGAGGAGGAAAGAAAGAAAGGUAAAUAGAACGAGGGAAAAAGAAAGGAAGAAAAACGACCCCUAGAGAAUUCCCGGAUGCUGGUGUUUCAGGGUGGAGGAGCCCAGGCACCCACAAAGGGAAGGCAGCUGGCCACAACAAGGCUGCUCAGAGCAGUGAGCUUAUCACCCCGGGUUUGAGCAAGCAUGAGGUGAGAG